GACGAACGCUGGCGGCGUGCUUAACACAUGCAAGUCGAACGGUAAGGCCCUGCUUUUGUUGUGUGCUCGAGUUGCGAACGGGUGAGUAACACGUGAGUAACCUGCCCUUGACUUUGGGAUAACUUUAGGAAACUGUGGCUAAUACCGCAUAGUAGCUCCUGCUGCAUGGUGUGUGUUGGAAAGUUUCGGCGGUUGGGGAUGGACUCGCGGCUUAUCAGCUUUUUGGUGGGGUAGUGGCUUACCAAGGCUUUGACGGGUAGCCGGCCUGAGAGGGUGACCGGCCACAGUGGGACUGAGGAGGGGGCCAGACUGAUACGGGAGGAAGCAGUGGGGGAUAUUGCACGAUGGGCGGAAGCCGGAAGCAGGAACGCCGCGUGGGAGAGGACGGCCGUAGGGGUGGAAAGCGCUUGCGCCUGUAAAGAAGAGUGAGUGACGGUAAUGGGUAAAGAAGCAACGGCUAACUACGUG
rnacentral:rRNA from 1 species